AUGGGAAGCACCGUUGCCAGCACCAUGAGGGUCAUAAAGAGGCCCAGUCACAUUGGGAUGGAAGUCCUCAUCCUCAGGCUCAGAGUGGUGAAUGGGAGGCGUGCCUUGCUCAGCCCCAGAGUGGAGACAAAUGGGUGUGGAAUUCACCAUAAUCUAUGGCAAGAAAUGGCCCUUACCCAUGGGAUUGAGAAUAUUAAUGCCAGGAAGAGGUCAGACAUUGAUAUUGAAGAGCAGACCUGUGUUGGAAUGAAUGCAGUUCUAGGGCGAGACUGGUGA
rnacentral:lncRNA from 1 species